rnacentral:rRNA from 1 species
UACGUAGGGUGCAAGCGUUAAUCGGAAUUACUGGGCGUAAAGCGUGCGCAGGCGGUUCCGCAAGUCAGAUGUGAAAUCCCCGGGCUCAACCUGGGAACUGCAUUUGAAACUACGGAGCUAGAGUGUGUCAGAGGGGGGUAGAAUUCCACGUGUAGCAGUGAAAUGCGUAGAGAUGUGGAGGAAUACUGAUGGCGAAGGCAGCCCCCUGGGAUGACACUGACGCUCAUGCACGAAAGCGUGGGGAGCAAACAGG